CGAGUCUUAACUGGGCGUUAAGUUGCAGGGUAUAGACCCGAAACCCGGUGAUCUAGCCAUGGGCAGGUUGAAGGUUGGGUAACACUAACUGGAGGACCGAACCGACUAAUGUUGAAAAAUUAGCGGAUGACUUGUGGCUGGGGGUGAAAGGCCAAUCAAACCGGGAGAUAGCUGGUUCUCCCCGAAAGCUAUUUAGGUAGCGCCUCGUGAAUUCAUCUCCGGGGGUAGAGCACUGUUUCGGCAAGGGGGUCAUCCCGACUUACCAACCCGAUGCAAACUGCGAAUACCGGAGAAUGUUAUCACGGGAGACACACGGCGGGUGCUAACGUCCGUCGUGAAGAGGGAAACAACCCAGACCGCCAGCUAAGGUCCCAAAGUCAUGGUUAAGUGGGAAACGAUGUGGGAAGGCCCAGACAGCCAGGAUGUUGGCUUAGAAGCAGCCAUCAUUUAAAGAAAGCGUAAUAGCUCACUGGUCGAGUCGGCCUGCGCGGAAGAUGUAACGGGGCUAAACCA
rnacentral:rRNA from 1 species